UGUUGAAGUUUAUAAUUAAGUUAUAUCCACACUUUGCAUACCAGAGACAAAGAAAAUCCAAUUUGCACUAAGCCCCGAUUUUAACUCGAAAUUUAUCGUUAGCAAAUUGCAAUGGCAAAUCGCAGAGCUCAUUUGGCCCGCCCCGUUGCUCUGCGGUUCUUGGUUCCCAUCAAAACCCCCAAGGCAUAGUAAGCAGAAUUUGCAGCAGGAACUGUAGCCCAUCCAAAGCCAAAGCCGAUCAGCUUGAGUGUUUUAUGGUCCCGAAGUGGCAGCUACAGCCCUAACAUACAACUAAGAAGCACAACAUCGGCUUAGGGCAACAGGAAGUAUUAGCACGAGCCAAGGAACAAAGCAAUCUAUAACGAUGGCCGGCGGGGGUAGGACAGCCGGCAAAUACGGAUAUUCGGACAACAAUUAUUACAGUGAUACUUGGGCUUCCAUUACUCCGCAUCUCAUGAAAUGUUUUUAUUAUCACCACAGAUGAUUUAUUUUAAUUUGCUAUUUUAUAUAUCGC
rnacentral:sRNA from 1 species